GAAGCAGGUGCUUGCACUCAAACCAGUUGACUUCCAUUUAUAUAAUCAAGCCCUCGAUGGAGUCAAGCUGGUGCUGAGAACUGGGGGGGCAGGUCUCUCUGUGUUGAUCAACAUCGAUACCUUGGGCAGAUAUCAAAUGUUUCACUUGGGUUCUUCCUGCCUGCUGGUGUUGAAGCACCCUAUCUGCCUGGGCUUUCCCUGAGGAUGAUGCUUUUGGUGAUGCUCCCAGCAGCUCUGGGCCUGAGAGUUGGGUUUGUGUCUGCCUUGGAGCUUCUGUUUUGGGUGCUGAAUCCCUAGCUAUAUCCCUUAGAAGAAAUGAUGUGCUCAUGGAGACUCUGCACAGGUGACUCUCAUGGGCAGAAGGCUCUUAUCCCCAUGCUUUCACUCUGACAGUUUGCACACAUGGAGCAGAGAAGCCCAAGGUUGAUACCACUCUCGUGUUGCUGCAACAGUAGCUUGGGUGAUCUGCUGACCCUCCUAAGGAUGCUGGGAGUGCCUUGACUUGAAGCCAAACGUUGCUAUUGAAAAUACUGAAAUAAUCAGUGCUUCUGAAGAAGGAAAACAGCUGCUAAGCCAUAGUAAAAUCAUCCACACAAAUGCCUUCUACUGGAAUGGGAAACUUGUGAAGGCAAACACAGCAAUCCUGCUUCCUAAUUUGUUUGGAGAAGGGGUUAGCCAUUGGGUUAGGCUGAGAAUAAGCACGUGGGAUCUGCAUGAGGUUUGACCUCAGAGCUCUUCUCCAGCCUAAAUGUUUGACUGCAUUUUUAGAGGUACUCUGUGAGGAUGAAGCCCUUAAGCCAACACCAAUCCCCUGUUUCCCCCCCACCCCAAUCAGGUGCAACAGAUGAGUUAAGCCCAGGCCAGCUGACAGCCUCCCUCCCACCUCAGGGGCUGUUGGUGAGCUGCAUGGGGGAGAACUUCAGCAACAAAUUCAUUGAGCACUUCAAUUCCCAGGGUCUUCCCAAGGGACAGCUUGUUAAAGCAGCCUUAGUUAGGGAACAGGCCAUAAGCACAACAGCUCUUCCUUAGGCUGCUCCUUGCCUGCAGUUCCUAAUGCUAUCCUGCUGUUAGAACCUGUAUUUUCCUUUGGUUUUUGUUUUUUUUUUUUUUUUUUGCUCUUGAGAUGGCAUUGUGUAUGUAGAAUACAUUUGUAGAUCUGGUUGCAAAGCACACACAAAUUCCUGAAUUUGGAGCUUGAGAGUGAUUGUACCUUUCAAAAUGUAGUGGGGGAAAGUCCACCUUCCCAUUAUUCAAGGUUUACACAUACUGUUUCUUGCAAAGUGGGUCAAUUUCAAUAACCCUGUCUUAUCUUAGCUCAGCAAAUUCUACAGGCCAGCUUGUUUCACUCCACUAAUAGCAUUCACUGGAGCUACUGAAGGGAAGUAACAGUCUGUGCCAUAGGUUUCCAUGCUCUUGUGGCUGUGUUUGGGCUCAUAGCAAUUUUUUAUUUUUAUUUUUUGCCUCUUAAGCAGGUAUUCAGCUUGAGCCCAGAAGUGAUGGUCAGGAGCUGCCUGCAACAUCUCCUGCACAACCAGGAGAGGAGCUGCCAGCCCUGGACCCACCUGUUUCUCCCCUCUAGCCCAUCUUUGCUAAGUGGGCAGCACUACAAGUAGCAAUAAGUGUGGUGUGAUGCUGUGCUGCUCCUCAUUGCUUUUAGCAUGUGCAUACAGCCCAGGGCACUGUUUGUCCUCAGGCAGGUGUUAACUUGGUAGGUACAUACACCUUGC